rnacentral:rRNA from 1 species
AAAGACUUACAUCUCUUCGGAGCAUUUUACGAGGUGCUGCAUGGUUGUCGUCAGCUCGUGCCGUGAGGUGUCGGGUUAAGUCCCAUAACGAGCGCAACCCUACCUUUAGUUGCCAUCAGGUUAAGCUGGGGACUCUAAAGGAACUGCCUACGCAAGUAGUGAGGAAGCGGGGAUGACGUCAAAUCAGCACGGCCCUUACGUCCAGGGCUACACACGUGCUACAAUGGCCGAUACAGAGGGCAGCUACCUGGUGACAGGAUGCAAAUCUCCAAAGUCGGUCUCAGUUCGGAUCGGAGUCUGCAACCCGACUCCGUGGAGCUGGAAUCGCUAGUAAUCGCGCAUCAGCCAUGGCGCGGUGAAUACGUUCCCGGGCCUU